rnacentral:lncRNA from 1 species
AUUUUUCAACAUUUCAAUAGUAUAUAUACUAUUAUUUUUUACCUUGGUGACACGAUCAAACCCUAAUACAUAGAUACUAUAUUGCCCUAUAAAACUUCGUGCAUCUGUGACGAUCAACUUCGGUUGGCUACACACACUGACACACAUAUUAUUUGUUGGUAGUAAUUUGAGAGAGGAAUAUAAAUAAUAAUUGAAGAGAUUCAAAAUGGUCAAAAAAAUAUAAUUCUUGGACACGAAUUAUAUAAGAAAGUCAUUCGUCACAUUUAUAGCGCACAGCAUUCUUACUAAGUUACUAAAAUGAUUGAGUUUCAAAGAUAUAUAUUGGAUUAUGCACUGUACUAAAACCAUAUAAUUGAGUUUAUUUUUCUUUUGUAGUGAACAAGAUAUCUAGUUCCGAGAUUUCGUCGUUUGUAUGUUGGGUUUAAACUCGUGUGGUUACAAUCAUGUAUUCACUGUUAUUGGUUAAUGAAAGUUGAUGUUGAGCCAAAAAAAAAAAAAAAAAAAAAGAUAUCUAGUUCCGAGAGGUCCAUAUCGGUUUUAGUUAUUUUCUUCUUUUCGAGCAACUUAUUUUAGUUAUCUUCUUCUUUUUUGAGCAACUUUUUUUUUUUUGAACUGAUUCUUUUUUGAGCAACUUAUUUUGUUCUUAUGGAACCUUUUCAUGUUCUUUAAAUAGAGCUAGUACCAAAUUUCACGUUUUAAGGUUUCAGGUUCUGUAAUACAAUAAAUUGGUUCUGUUGGCGAUUGUUAACUCUUGGUUACGUCGCUAAGAAAUACAGUAUUGUUUCCCCCACCAACUUUUUAACAUCUUUUCUCACUAAUUAAAAAAAAAACUUAACUCACUCAAUUCAUCAUAAUUUUUUUUUUAAAGUAACUCAUCAUAAAUUAGCUAGAUACUUUUUGAGAUAGCUUAGUUCAGCUCAAUUACUCUAUAUUUAUCAAUUCAAGUUUAAUUAUAUCAUCCAAAUUGUGAGUUAGUAAAUAAGUUAUCUAACUUAUACAACAAAAUAUAAUAACAAACUAAUCUAGA